GAUGAACGCUGGCGGCGUGCCUAACACAUGCAAGUCGAACGGGAUCCCUUGGAUUCGUCUGGGGGUGAGAGUGGCGAACGGGUGAGUAACACGUAGGUGACCUGCCCCAAAGUGGGGAAUAACCGCUGGAAACGGUGGCUAAUACCCCAUGUGCUCGGUGGUUCGUUCCAUCGAGUAAAGUUCCGGCGCUUUGGGAGGGGCCUGCGGCCCAUCAGGUAGUUGGUAGGGUAAUGGCCUACCAAGCCGAUGACGGGUAGGGGGCGUGAGAGCGUGAUCCCCCACACUGGCACUGAGAUACGGGCCAGACUCCUACGGGAGGCAGCAGUGAGGAAUAUUGCCCAAUGGACGCAAGUCUGAGGCAGCAACGCCGCGUGGGCGAUGAAGGCCUUCGGGUCGUAAAGCCCUUUUCUGGGGGACGAGGAAGGACGGUACCUCAGGAAUAAGUCACGGCUAACUACGUGCCAGCAGCCGCGGUAAUACGUAGGUGGCUAGCGUUAUCCGGAUUUACUGGGCGUAAAGCGCGUGCAGGCGGUUCCGUAAGUCGGACGUGAAAGCUCCUGGCUCAACUGGGAGACGCCGUUCGAUACUGCGGGACUUGAGGUCGGGAGAGGGACGUGGAAUUCCCGGUGUAGUGGUGGAAUGCGUAGAUAUCGGGAGGAACACCAGUGGCGAACGCGGCGUCCUGG
rnacentral:rRNA from 1 species